rnacentral:lncRNA from 1 species
AUGCCCGCCGCUGCCCAACUUUCCGCUCCUGGCCCCCGCACGCGGCUGGCACAGGGCGAGUUUGCCAAGCCGAGGAUCCCGAGUGCGGGAGCCACAAAGAGCUGCCACGCCAACAAAGCGGGCGCUCCGUGGGCGGGGGCGGCAAGGACCGCGCUCGCCGCGCACCUGGCCGCGCAGGGACAGCGCCGCCCGCGGCCGGCGCGCCAGGUGGCUGGGCCCGGACCGGAGCGCGGCGCCUCGGCCACGGCGUGCUCUUCCUGCCGCCGCGCACGGCGAGCGUCACGCGGGCGGGGCGCGGGCUACGGCCCCCUCGGCCCGCGGCGCAGCGCGGCCCGGCCCCGGGAAGCCGGCGCCCGCGCACAGCGGCGGCCGGGCGGAGGCGCCGGCCGAGCGGGCGCCCGCGGGCUGCGUAACGCCCUGUCGAAAGCGGACGCCAUAUUUUUUUGUGGCUGUGUCGACACAGAGCGACGUAGACAUGUUUUCCUCUCCUCCUCGGUCUGGCUUGCCUCCGCGCCAACUUGCCGUCAGAACUCUUCUGGGGAGGCCGCCGAGCCCUGCUUGGCUUGCUCGGAGAACACCCGCAUUCCACGUCUGCCGCUCCAUCCGCUGGACAGCCAGCCAGCUCUGAAGACACCCUCUGUUGUUACCGUGAAUAAAACAGAAUGUGAGUGCUGCUGCCGCAUCACAGACACCUUGCACCUCACAGAGAGUGGUUGUCACGACCAAGCCCAGUGUGGGGAGCACAGGAAGGUCCAGCACCUGUGCAGCCCUCCCUGGAUGGUCCAGCGCCUGUGCACCCUCCCUAGUCUCAGAAAGCUUUCCAUAAAAUCCCUGCCCUCGCUGCCCAUCUCCCUUUUGUGGUAUCUCUUGCUCAGUUUCUAUGGCAGCCUCCUAUGAGUCUUCCUCCUCCUGUCUUUGGGUCUCUCUUGUCCAUUGUGUAGGGCAGGGGCAGACAGAAUACACUUUAGUGUUUGUGGGCAUGUCGUCUGUUUCAGCUAUUCCAUUGCUAUAGCACAAAAAUAACCAUAGAUGAUACAUAAACAAAAGGGAGUGGCUGUCUCAAUAAAAUUUACAUUUAAUGUGUAUUGUACAUUUCAUAAAAUUUUCAUCUCAUAAAGUAUUUUUCCUUUGAUUUUAUAAAUCAAUUUUAAAAUGGUAAAGAUAUUCUUAGCUUGUCAGCAGUAAAAAAAUAGGAGGCAGGCUGGAUUUGAUCCACAGUUUGCUCUUGCUUACUCUAGUAUAUUAGAAGUAUGGUUGGACCUCCAUAUCCACAGAUUCAACUAAAUGUGGAUCAGAAAUAUUCAAAGAAAAAAUCGCAUCUGUGCUGAACAGGCUCAGAUGUUUUUCUUGUUACUAUGACCUAACAGUACAGUAGAACAACCACGGACUCAUUGCUAACACUGCACUGGGCAUUACAGAUAUUCUAGAGAUGAUUUAAAGCAUACAGGGGUUUGCGUAGUGCACACAAGCACUAUGCAUUCCACAUAAGGGACUCGUGCCCACACACUGGUGUCGCUGCUCAGGUCCUGGGACUGACUCCCUGGGGCCCCUGGCAGGUGACCCUGCAGAGCCAUCUGGGAGCAGCGUGUGUGCCCAGGGCUGAGCUGGCACCUCUCAACACGCUUCAGCCUCACAGCAGCCUUACUGGAGGCUUUGCUGCCUCACUAAGUGACAAGGAGCUAGGAGUGCCCUGGCAGGAAGUGGGGCCACCGGAGCUGGAGUGGGAGCGGGCUGUCUGGGCUCUGCUCUCAGCCCUGGGAAGGAGCCUGUGUCUGUUACAUGGCACGGGGUGGGACGGAGCCCAGGCUUCACCACGGGCGCUGGGACUGGACACCUGCAUCCCCGCUGUCCACCACUCUCCUGCCUGCUGCUCCCUGGCCACUCAGGUGCCUUUGCUGUCUGGUACCCCCCAGCUCUAUUUCUAGCUCAGAACACUCAUGCAGCCCCCGAAAGUCCCUCCCUUGGCCAGGUGAGCGCCAGUUUGAUCCUUGGGCCCGAGCCUGCAUGUCACUGUGUCACACAGGCCCUCUGCAGCCUUUGAGCGAAACGAGCAUUAGGCCUGGUGGGACCCUCAGAGCCUGUCCUUCCCCUGCAGCGUUCAUGACCCCAGGACUGAUGGCUCCCUGCUGACCUGUUGAAUCUGUCUCCCCUUGGACCGUUAUCCCACACCGCUGGAUGGGAGCGCAUCUGCCGGACCCACCUCUGAAGGUCAGCACCAAGCCCAGAACCGGGGCCAGAGCAAGUGCUCAGCAAACAUCUGGCAGAUGAACAAGCGGGCGCUCGCCUCUCCCAGCCACCGGGCAGCCCCAGAAGCAGGUGUCAUUGUGCUCCCGCCACCAGACUGAGAAACCAGACUCAGAGACGAAAGGCAGCACUUCCAAAAGGGCAGGAACAAGUUUGAGACCCUGUUUUAUCUUUAUUUGUCUUUAUUAGAGUGCCAUGAGCGUUCCCUCAUGGCCACGCAUUCUGUCUCUCGUGUAUGUUUGUGUGCGGGUUUACUUUGGCAUAGAUGCUCCGAUUCAGGUGACAAAUGAUGGGAGGCAGCAGAGAGCCCCACCCCACUUUUGUUUCCUAGCCACCUGGGUCCCUCUCUGCAAGCAACUGAGGGUGCCAGUUUCUUAUAUAUCCCUCUAGAGCCUGUCUGCACAUAUACAAGGAAACACAUUUAUUUCUUCUCCUCCUUGUAUCUGACUCACGUGGCAGCUUAACAUAAUGCUCCUUAGCUUUUUAAACUUAGUGACAUGCUGCAGAGACCCAUAUCUAUAUGUCCUUUCCACAAUUCGACUGCUAGAGCUGCAUUUUAUUUUUUUAUGGCUGUAGUGUGUCACACUGUAUGUAUAUUUCACAAUUUAUUAAAUCUUCCAGUGACAGAAAUUUUUACCAUUACAAACCACGAGUAACUUUGUACAUGUGUCAAUUCACACAUGCGUGAGUAUGUUUGAAAGAUGCACUUUCAGAAAUGGAAUUGCUGGGAUGAAGGUAAGCAGGAAGAUUUUUUUUUAAAAAGGUCUUGCUAUGUAGUUCAGGCUGGCCUUGAACUCACAGCGAUCCUCCUGCCUCAGCCUCUUCAGUGCUGGGAUCACAGACAUCGCCACCACACCCAGCUACCCUGAGAUUUCUAAGACCCACAAUGGCACGAGACUUGGGCCAUUGUAAUGCCAGUUCAGCAUCCAGACAGCUUAUGGUAGAGGCCCUUUCUAGGGCACCAAGAAUCAGCUAAGCGUGCCAUUUCUCCCACAGGUCCCUCCGUCCUGCCUCUUCCAUUGCUUCACUCUUGUGCAUUAAACCAGCAAGUUGGGCGGCAUCAUGUGGUAGGGUGGAUCUGGGCUCUAAACUCAAAUAUAUCUCAAUGUACGAGUUGUGUGGCCAGGAAGCAGUUGGUUCACUUUUCUAGAGCUCAGUAUCUUCACCUGAGAAAUGGGGCUCAGUUUCGCCCAACUCACGGGGCAGUGGUGUGGAUGAAAUAAACUAAUCCAUGGGUCAUAGUAAGCCUGUAGUAUGUUAGUUUUCAUUAUGAUGAAUUAAAUAUGAGGCCACGGAAACCCACAUCACAAGUAUUGAUUGGACAGACAGUACAGUAAGGGCCUGGGAUGUGACAUGAGUCUGGGAGGGAGAGGGAGGUCGAUGGGACAGUUAGGGUCCCAGGAGAAGGGGGUCAGCAUGAUGCCACAGGGUGCCAGGGUGAGGGGUGACAAGGUGAUACAAGGCUUCCAGAGAUAACCUUUGUCUGUUCCAGCUUGGCCAGGGCACCUGGGCUAUUCUAUGUGGGUGGCUCCUGCAGUGGCAUGGAAGGCCAUUCUGUACCCUGGGACUGCAGGCAGACAGUGGAAAUCCCCUCUGGCACGAGGCUGCCAAGGUGUCUGCUGGGAGAGGCCUGUGUCCUGUGAUUUGGGCUGACUUAUCCGGUCCCUCCCAGGAGCUCGAGGACACCUACUGGGAGCCCACAUUUACCCUCCUGCUCCUCCUGCUCCUCUUCCUCCUCGUGCUCUUCCUCCUCCUCCAUCUCCUCCUGCUCUUCCUCCUCCUCCUGCUCCUCUUCCUCCUGCUCCUCCUCCUUCUCCUCCUGCUCCUCCUGUUCCUCCUCCUCCUGCUCCUCCUGUUCCUCCUCCUCCUGCUCCUCUUCCUCCUGCUCCUCCUCCUCCUGUUCCUCCUCCUCC